rnacentral:rRNA from 1 species
GGAGGGUGCAAGCGUUAAUCGGAAUUACUGGGCGUAAAGCGCGCGCAGGCGGCUGGGUCAGUCGGAUGUGAAAGCCCCGGGCUUAACCUGGGAAUUGCAUUCGAUACUGCCCGGCUAGAGUAUGGGAGAGGGAAGUGGAAUUUCCGGUGUAGCGGUGAAAUGCGUAGAUAUCGGAAGGAACACCAGUGGCGAAGGCGGCUUCCUGGCCCAAUACUGACGCUCAGGUGCGAAAGCGUGGGGAGCGAACAGGAUUAGAUACCCUGGUAGUCCACGCUGUAAACGAUGAGAACUAGAUGUUGGGAGGUUAGCCUCUCAGUGUCGCAGCUAACGCGUUAAGUUCUCCGCCUGGGGAUACGACCGCAAGGUUG